rnacentral:rRNA from 1 species
AUGAGAAGAUGCUCUCGUUAUUUGCCUCCAAACUUAUUCAUUGCUGUUGUGGAGGAAAGGCAGGUUCUGAUAACAGCAUGUGAUAUACAAACCAAUCAUGAAUUUCAGGAACUGGAAUUCAUGAUUUCAACUGCUGCUCUGAGGGAACAUGAAAAUGUUCUCCAUCUUACUGGACUUUGCAUCAAUGACAAUAGAGCCUACGUUGUGUUUGACCUUCCCGCUGGUUCUUUAAUUUAUGAAAAGCUAAAGGGUGAUGCUGGUUCCUUACAAUGCUGCCAAAUAGUGGAUAUUGCUCUUGGAAUAUGCGAGGGGUUUCUUUACAAUAUAUCUUGUGGAUUUGUGUCUGCCUGUCCCAGCUCUGACAAUAUCUGGCUUAAACUGGAUGGUACACCGUUGUUGCUUGAUGUCUCUGGAUUGGGUGAUGAUUCUGCAGAAACUGAUGCCGUCCGUGCAAUUGGACUCAUUGUCUUAGAAAUGUGCAUGAAUGCUUCCGACAGAGAGAGUUGCUCUUUCAAGAAAGUCACAAUGCUUGCGAAUCAGUGCGUCAGCGAACAAUUUGAUGAGAAGCUGUCGCUGGAAUCUCUUCAGGAGGAAUUGAAUCAACUCAAGCGAUCUGUUGGUUGUCUUAGAUUGGAGGUAGAUGAUGCUGCUUCUCUCACAGGAGCUUUACACUGA